GGGUCAAUGAUGAGAACUUAUGUUGUCUGGAAGAGAAAUGAUGACCUAAGAAUCAUGUUCAAUAACAUUAUUUUGAGACCC
ensembl:snoRNA SNORD115 Small nucleolar RNA SNORD115